CCUAAAUUACUUUAGCUAAGUAAAGCAGUUUUAGUGUAUGGAUCAUUCCCCUGCAAUUUCACUGCUCAAUUCACUGUCAUUUAGGAGUUAAAUCACUUUGUUUCUGUUUAUGCAGCCCUAGCCACACCUCCCCUGGCUAUGAUUGACAGAGCCUGCAUGAAAAAGAAAACUGGUUUCACUUUCAAACAGAUGUAAUUUACCUUAAAUAAUUGUAUCUCAAUCUCUAAAUUGAACUUUAAUCACAUACAGGAGGCUCU
rnacentral:lncRNA from 1 species